CCUACGGGGGGCUGCAGUGGGGAAUAUUGGACAAUGGGGGGAACCCUGAUCCAGCCAUGCCGCGUGUGUGAAGAAGGCCCUCGGGUUGUAAAGCACUUUCAGUGAGGAAGAACGCCUGGUGGUUAAUACCCAUCAGGAAAGACAUCACUCACAGAAGAAGCACCGGCUAACUCCGUGCCAGCAGCCGCGGUAAUACGGAGGGUGCGAGCGUUAAUCGGAAUUACUGGGCGUAAAGCGCGCGUAGGUGGCUUGAUAAGCCGGUUGUGAAAGCCCCGGGCUCAACCUGGGAACGGCAUCCGGAACUGGCAAGCUAGAGUGCAGGAGAGGAAGGUAGAAUUCCCGGUGUAGCGGUGAAAUGCGUAGAGAUCGGGAGGAAUACCAGUGGCGAAGGCGGCCUUCUGGACUGACACUGACACUGAGGUGCGAAAGCGUGGGUAGCAAACAGGAUUAGAUACCCUGGUAGUC
rnacentral:rRNA from 1 species